rnacentral:rRNA from 1 species
UUUAUGGAGAGUUUGAUCCUGGCUCAGAGUGAACGCUGGCGGCGUGCCUAAUACAUGCAAGUCGAACGAUGAAGCUUCUAGCUUGCUAGAAUGCUGAUUAGUGGCGCACGGGUGAGUAACGCAUAGGUUAUGUGCCUCUUAGUUUGGGAUAGCCAUUGGAAACGAUGAUUAAUACCAGAUACUCCCUACGGGGGAAAGAUUUAUCGCUAAGAGAUCAGCCUAUGUCCUAUCAGCUUGUUGGUAAGGUAAUGGCUUACCAAGGCUAUGACGGGUAUCCGGCCUGAGAGGGUGAACGGACACACUGGAACUGAGACACGGUCCAGACUCCUACGGGAGGCAGCAGUAGGGAAUAUUGCUCAAUGGGGGAAACCCUGAAGCAGCAACGCCGCGUGGAGGAUGAAGGUUUUAGGAUUGUAAACUCCUUUUGUUAGAGAAGAUAAUGACGGUAUCUAACGAAUAAGCACCGGCUAACUCCGUGCCAGCAGCCGCGGUAAUACGGAGGGUGCAAGCGUUACUCGGAAUUACUGGGCGUAAAGAGCGCGUAGGCGGGAUAGUCAGUCAGGUGUGAAAUCCUAUGGCUUAACCAUAGAACUGCAUUUGAAACUACUAUUCUAGAGUGUGGGAGAGGUAGGUGGAAUUCUUGGUGUAGGGGUAAAAUCCGUAGAGAUCAAGAGGAAUACUCAUUGCGAAGGCGACCUGCUGGAACAUUACUGACGCUGAUUGCGCGAAAGCGUGGGGAGCAAACAGGAUUAGAUACCCUGGUAGUCCACGCCCUAAACGAUGGAUGCUAGUUGUUGGAGGGCUUAGUCUCUCCAGUAAUGCAGCUAACGCAUUAAGCAUCCCGCCUGGGGAGUACGGUCGCAAGAUUAAAACUCAAAGGAAUAGACGGGGACCCGCACAAGCGGUGGAGCAUGUGGUUUAAUUCGAAGAUACACGAAGAACCUUACCUAGGCUUGACAUUGAGAGAAUCCGCUAGAAAUAGUGGAGUGUCUGGCUUGCUAGACCUUGAAAACAGGUGCUGCACGGCUGUCGUCAGCUCGUGUCGUGAGAUGUUGGGUUAAGUCCCGCAACGAGCGCAACCCCCUUUCUUAGUUGCUAACAGGUCAUGCUGAGAACUCUAAGGAUACUGCCUCCGUAAGGAGGAGGAAGGUGGGGACGACGUCAAGUCAUCAUGGCCCUUACGCCUAGGGCUACACACGUGCUACAAUGGGGUGCACAAAGAGAAGCAAUACUGCGAAGUGGAGCCAAUCUUCAAAACACCUCUCAGUUCGGAUUGUAGGCUGCAACUCGCCUGCAUGAAGCUGGAAUCGCUAGUAAUCGCAAAUCAGCCAUGUUGCGGUGAAUACGUUCCCGGGUCUUGUACUCACCGCCCGUCACACCAUGGGAGUUGUGUUUGCCUUAAGUCAGGAUGCUAAAUUAGCUACUGCCCACGGCACACACAGCGACUGGGGUGAAGUCGUAACAAGGUAACCGUAGGUGAACCUGCGGUUGGAUCACCUCCUUUCUAGA